rnacentral:rRNA from 1 species
CGGUACCUACGGGACGCAGCAGUGGGGGAUAUUGCACAAUGGGGGGAACCCUGAUGCAGCGACGCCGCGUGGGUGAAGGAGCGUUUCGGCGCGUAAAGCCCUAUCGGCAGGGAAGAAGAUGACGGUACCUGACCAAGAAGCCCCGGCUAACUACGUGCCAGCAGCCGCGGUGAUACGUAGGGGGCAAGCGUUAUCCGGAUUUACUGGGUGUAAAGGGAGCGUAGACGGUUAUGUAAGUCUGGAGUGAAAGCCCCGGGCCCAACCCCGGGCCUGCUUUGCAAACUGUGUAACUGGAGGACAGGGGG